rnacentral:Y_RNA from 1 species
GGCUAGUGUAAAGGUAAUGGAUUAUCUCAUUUGAUUGUUUCACAGUCAGUUACAGGUUGAACUCCUUGUUCUGCUCUUUCCUCCUCAUCUCACUACUGCAGUUGACUAAUUAAUA